CUCAUUCUCAUUUUUGCUGAAGCUUUGGCUCUUUAUGGGCUUAUUGUUGGAAUUAUAUUGUCUUCACGAGCUGGGCAGUCCAGAGCAGAGUGAAGUUGGCUUAUUAAUACUAUUCUUACUAUGAUGUAUGUGAGACUCAGUAAACCCUGGCAAAACUUGAUCCUUGCUAAAGUCAAAAAGUUAUCUAUGUCUAUGUGUUAAUGCUAUUCUUGCUAUGAUGUAUGUGAGACUCAUUAACGCUGGCAGACCUUGAUCCUUGCUAAAGUCGAAAAGCUAUCUAUGUCUAUGUUUGUUAUUCAUGAUGGCACGGUUGCUACUGGUGCUGCUAUGUACUGUUUGUAGAAGUAGGAGUGAGUAUUUAUUUUAAUAAUAACUUAAGAAGCUGUCGUAUUUGAUCACUAUUUGUGCAUGUAAUGAUUUUUUGCUACAAUUUGUUAUGGCCCCGUGCAACAUGUAUGAUAUUCCGCUUACAUAUUUCUCUGAAUAAAAAACUCUGUUGGGUGAUGCUACUUGAAGAUGCAGACAUGGUUUCACGUAUUAUUUAGUUGGUGGUAGGACUAUCUUGUGCAAAGGUAAUCUUAUGGUCACUAUUUCUUUUAAUUUGUAUCUUGUA
rnacentral:lncRNA from 1 species